GACGAACGCUGGCGGCGUGCUUAACACAUGCGAGUCGAACGGUAAGGCCCUUCGGGGUACACGAGUGGCGAACGGGUGAAUAACACGUGGGUGAUCUGCCCUGCACUUCGGGAUAAGCCUGGGAAACUGGGUCUAAUACCGGAUAGGACUCCGGACUGCAUGGUCUGGGGUGGAAAGCUUUUGCGGUGUGGGAUGGGCCCGCGGCCUAUCAGCUUGUUGGUGGGGUGACGGCCUACCAAGGCGACGACGGGUAGCCAGCCUGAGAGGGUGACCGGCCACACUGGGACUGAGAUACGGCCAAGACUCCUACGGGAGGCAGCAGUGGGGAAUAUUGCACAAUGGGCGCAAGCCUGAUGCAGCGACGCCGCGUGAGGGAUGACGGCCUUCGGGUUGUAAACCUCUUUCAGCAUCGACGAAGCGAAAGUGACGGUAGGUGCAGAAGAAGGACCGGCCAACUACGUGCCAGCCGCCGCCGUAA
rnacentral:rRNA from 1 species